GUGGUUAGCGAUAGGGAGAAAGUUUGUUGACAUCAAAAAGAAGUUACAAAAGUACGAAACGAGGUUGAGUAUUGUUGCCGCGAACGAAGUUGCGCGGAAGUUUAGUUUAGUGCUAAAAUAGUGGUUGCAAGGAGGAUUAUUCGUGCGUGCAGGUUAGACGAUCACAUGUACACGGAUAAAAUACUCGGUGAGCGACAAAAAUGCAUGCAAAAACAGAACAACAAACUAAAACCCCUAACUCCUAGUAGUACGGACUUCAGACCGUUUGGCCAGGACAGAACAGGACAGUACAGACGGAACUGACGUGCCAGGAUCACAGGUAACACGUAAUUAACCUAAAUUAGUACAAAAGUGAUAACUAACAAGAGUCAACACACAGAUUUAGCACGAAGAACAACAAGUUAAAAUCUCAGCAGAGCCCGGUGCGGUCAUUGCUGCUGGGGUGAAUUGUAAGUUGUUGCACAAGUUAAAAGUUGAAUCUAUUUCUAAAAUAACGAAUUAAAAUUACUGAUAGGAUUUAAGGAUCGGUGGAUUGUGCAAGGAAUAGGAAGAAAUUUCUGUACGGAAGCGAACUAAAAAAUGUAAGACGCACACACACAUGUAAAUAAGUACAAAACAAACUAAAAUUGAACUUUUCAAUAUAUUUUCAACAGUUUGAUCUGCUGCGAAGCGGCUGAUGCACAAAAUUUGGGUUUUUAUUCCGCCACCGUCCGAACAAAAUCAAAAUUUUUUAAACCGGAUUCGGAAAUGGUUUCCCGUAUGAAGGAAACGAAGUGCAUGUUCUGCAAAAAGGCAGACAAGCAUGAGCAUGGUUGGGAGGAGUGUUCUAAGUGCGGUUCGUGGGCUCAUACAAAGUGCUCGGGCGUGGAUGAAAAGUCGGAAGAAGAGUGGAUCUGUCCGAAGUGUGUCGACUCCGAAUUUCUGCUGAAAGUUCCGGGGAAUAAGACGAAGAAGUCAGGCGCCAUCAGCGAUUCGGGAACCGUCCCAGGCGCUAGUUCUGUUGCAGUUCCAACUGAAGAGGAGUUGGCUGAGGAACAGCGUGCCGAGCGGGAGGCUUUCGUGAAGCAAAUUGAGCUGCGCAAGAAACGUCUGGCGGAAAAGCUGGCCUGGAGCGAGCAGAGGAUGAAGGAGGAGGCGGAGAUGCAGGCGCUUGAGUUGAAAACUCAGCGCGAGAUCGAGCAGAAGCAGCUGGCGCACGAUCAGGAGAUGCUGCAGCGUCAGUUGUCUGUAGAGAAGGAGUUUUUAAAGAAACGGUCAGCUCUGAAGAAGCAGAUCGAUGCUAGCAAGGCCAAGGUCGAAGCGCUGAAGGCCGAGAAGUCCACGGAGCAGAAAGUGACCGACUGGUUGAAGGGUGGCGAGAACUCUGGAACUGGAGGAAAACCGAAGCCAAAGCCGAAACCGGAAGUCACUCCGGAGAGCAGCGAUCAUGAGGAGUCUGGAGAAGAUAGCGAUUCGGUAAAGUCCGCAAAAAGUGGCGUCAAGAACAAACCGAAGAAGGGUGGCGGAUCGUUUGGCAACACUACUCGCAUCACGCGAGAGCAAUUGGCCGCGCGAAAGGUGGUGUCGCAUGCCUUGCCGAAGUUCAAGGGUGAACCGGAAGUCUGGCCGCUGUUCAUCAGUUGCUUCGAGCACACCACGGCAGCGUGUGGCUUCUCCAACAUCGAAAAUCUCACACGACUCGUGGAGGCACUUCAUGGCGAGGCGCUGGAGAACGUGCGGAGCAGCCUAGUUUUCCCAAGUGCGGUGCCGGGCAUCAUCCAAGAUCUCCGGAACAUGUUCGGGAGACCAGAGAAGCUACUGAAAGCGUUGCUGGAGAAGGUGAGGCAGGCGCCGGCACCGCAUGCCGAUCGUUUGGGUACCUUCAUCAACUUCGGGAUGGUGGUGAAGCAGUUGUGCGACCACCUUGAAGCUGCAGGUCUGCACGACCACCUGAACAAUCCCAUGCUGGUGCAGGAGCUGAUCGAGAAGUUGCCGCCUAGCUACCAGAUGGAUUGGGUCAGGUUCAAGCGGGGCAAAAGGGAGAAUCCACUGCGAAGGUUUGCGAAUUUCAUGAAAGGGAUCGUGGACGACGCUUCGGAGGUGGCGGAUUUCUCGCCACAGAAUAUGAGCGACCACAACAAGCCAGAAAGAGGAAAGCCGCAGGGCAGAGCGUUCGUUCAUGUCCAUGAAACGGAGCUGAAGCAGGUCGAAGCGCCGCGCAUCGAGAGACCCAGCAGGCCCUGCUGGUUCUGCAAGCGGGCGGAUCACUUCAUCCGAUCCUGCGAGGAGUUCAAGCGGAUGAACGUCGCGGAACGGCUGAGGGAAGUGGAGAGACUGCAAUUGUGUGGCCGGUGUCUGAACAAUCACGGAUCUAGACCGUGCAACUUCAGGGGCCGGUGUACGGUGCCGAACUGCGUAGGCGACCAUCAUCCCCUCCUACACCGCGCGGAAGAGACGGUGCAGCUGCAGAAAGCGGAGAACUCGAGUCGCUCGGUGAUUUUCCGCAUGAUGCCAGUAACACUGCACGCCGGAAAGAGACAGUACGACACUGUAGCGUUCCUGGACGAAGGAUCGUCGGCGACGCUGGUGGAUGACGCCGUGGCCAAGCAGUUGAAGGCAGAGGGAGUUCCAGAGCCGUUGAUUGUCAAUUGGACCGGAAACAUCAACCGGAUUGAGGACGGAUCGCGUAAGGUGGAGUUGAUGCUGUCAGCCAAGGGAUCGACAGAGAAGUUUCCACUGUCGACGCGAACCGUUGGAGAGCUGCUUUUGCCACAGCAGGACGUGAACUACCCAGAAGUAAUAGGAAAGUACACGCAUCUGUCCGGCGUGCCGCUGGAAGAUCUUCCAUCAGGUGUACCGACGAUCCUGAUCGGAUUGGACAAUCUGCAUCUGUUCGCGCCAUUAGAGUCACGGAUCGGCCAGCCUUGUGAGCCGAUAGCCGUGCGAUCGAAGGUCGGAUGGACGGUUUACGGAACGGAGAAGCGCAAACCGCGCAGAAGUGUCCUUUUGAAUGUGCACUCGGUGGUUCCAGUGAGCAGCAGGCAAGCGCCCGAAAAGCGGAAGGUGCCGGAUAUGCAGGGCGGCAGAAAGCCGUCUACAGUUCCGGUUAGCGAGCCCAAGAAGGAGACGCAAGCACGAGAGAUUCUGAAAGAAUCGACGACCUCUCUGGGUCGAGAGCCGGAGAAGAACCCGGCACUGAAGGAGAAAAAUGAGCCCACGAAUCGCCAGCGGAACGAGGACUGCACAACCGAAGAUGAGCAGCUGGAAAAGUCGAGAGCGGCAGCGAGCAAACAUCGUUUGGACCCCGGAGCAGUUCCGAAUACCAACGGCCACGAGACGAGCAAGGCGCCAACGAAGAUGGUACGGGAAAUUGUCAACAACUGCGCGGCUCAGCUGACGUGGGUGCGGACGACGUGGUCGGUCAAUCCUCUCCUGUCAUCUCACUUGGGAGAUGCUUGGGAGCGACUGAUGCGAUCGGUCAGUGAAGCGCUCAUGGCGCUAGACGAUGGGCGGCGGCUCAUGGACGAGAUCCCGAAGACUGCCAUCGACGAAGCGGAGAACGCACGUCCGCUUGCAUACGUGUGGCAGCAGUCGGACGAGGCUGAAGCGAUUUUCCCCAACUCUUUUCAGCGAGAUGCUUCACCAAACCAACCGGGCGGGGCUCUACCGUCACCACAUCCGGCGGCGGCUCUACGGGACACGUGCCAGCGUCCCAAACAGCUGGCCGACGUAACAUGGAAACGACGGAACGACGAGAACCUGCCGAGGCGGACGAGGUUCGGGAAGACGAUAUCGCGUGAGAAAAGUGCCCAGACCAUGGAGGGCAACGAACGGAAGUGCUGGAUUCGGGGCCCUGUGGACGAAUCGAUCGUGUGCAAGGACGAGCGGGUGAGCAAGGCGUGCGUGCGCACCGAAAGCGGCUGGUGCAAGCGAGCGGUGGCGAAGCUGGCAGUGUCGGAGAUACGAGUGGGUAACCCUAAACCGGAAGCGGACUCCCGGAUCGGGUUACAGGCUGGGGAAUGUUCCGACAACACUGCCGCCAGUCGCGGUAAAACAGACACGGUCGCAGCAACGCCGCAAAACGCGUCGACGCGACGCGUUGGCUACAACUGUCACAACAAAACAGAGAGACAGAUAGAAAGAGCGAGGAGGAAAUAAACACAAAGAAAGAGUGGUUAGCGAUAGGGAGAAAGUUUGUUGACAUCAAAAAGAAGUUACAAAAGUACGAAACGAGGUUGAGUAUUGUUGCCGCGAACGAAGUUGCGCGGAAGUUUAGUUUAGUGCUAAAAUAGUGGUUGCAAGGAGGAUUAUUCGUGCGUGCAGGUUAGACGAUCACAUGUACACGGAUAAAAUACUCGGUGAGCGACAAAAAUGCAUGCAAAAACAGAACAACAAACUAAAACCCCUAACUCCUAGUAGUACGGACUUCAGACCGUUUGGCCAGGACAGAACAGGACAGUACAGACGGAACUGACGUGCCAGGAUCACAGAUUUAGCACGAAGAACAACAAGUUAAAAUCUCAGCAGAGCCCGGUGCGGUCAUUGCUGCUGGGGUGAAUUGUAAGUUGUUGCACAAGUUAAAAGUUGAAUCUAUUUCUAAAAUAACGAAUUAAAAUUACUGAUAGGAUUUAAGGAUCGGUGGAUUGUGCAAGGAAUAGGAAGAAAUUUCUGUACGGAAGCGAACUAAAAAAUGUAAGACGUACACACACAUGUAAAUAAGUACAAAACAAACUAAAAUUGAACUUUUCAAUAUAUUUUCAACAGUUUGAUCUGCUGCGAAGCGGCUGAUGCACAAAAUUUGGGUUUUUAUUCCGCCACCGUCC